rnacentral:lncRNA from 1 species
GCCGUUUUUCUUGUAGUGGUCGCCUCAAAAUUCCUCAAGUUUUAGCCCCCCAUACCGUAAUGCUUAUAUAAAUGGAUAGAUAUCCUUGAGAUCUAUCUAUUUCUACCAGUUUCAUCACCAAAAAACCUCACCACCGCCAACCUCCACACCUACUACUGCGACCAGCCCACUUCCACUACCUCACCACUGCCGAUCCUCCGUUCUAGCAUGAACAUAACCUCGUAGUCUCUCUUUCUCUUUGACACAAAUUUGGACUCAACUCUGGUUCGCUGCAGUUUGUGUUUUUCGGCAUUUGUCGUCGAGAAAAAUGAGGCGUGGAGGUCGAUUCACCAUCUAUUUGUGUCGUACAACUAGCUAAAAGCUUGAGCGCUUAGGUAAAACCCUAAUCUUUUCCUUUGUGUUUUUGAUUUACUAUUUCAAUGCUAUUUGAUUAUAGUUCUCUUUUUAAUUUAAAUUAGGUUAGUGGUUGUCUUAGUUAAACGCUUGAUGUAGUUUCUGUUUCGAUUAGCAAUUAGGAUUAGGUUUUAAUUGUGUUAUAUGUUUAUGCUUUUUCCUAAUUAUGUAAUUCGUGCUUCUGAUUUAAUUAAAUUAGAAUAGUUGUUCUAGUUUAGUUUCUACAAACACUGACUCGUAUCGAUUCGCAUUGUCUAAAGUUUUAGUUUAUAUCGACUAAUUGUUGGUUGUUUGGUUUUGAAUAUCUAUUUGGUUAAGUUACUAUGAGUUUAGUAAGUUUGAUGUUCUGAUCAGUGUAUAACCAAGCCCUCGUUAGGUUGUAACCAUUGUGGUAAUUGAGUUUAUGUCUUCAAAUGGGUCGUUUGGUUUUAAAUUGCUUUUGGAAUUGUGCUGGAAGUGUUGUUAAUCCAGUUACUACUUAGCAAAUGAUGUUUGUCUGUUUGGUUGAUAACUUGAGUCAAGUUUCAUGGUUUCUUGUGUUUUGGUUAAAAAACAUAGGGUGGUACUAUUAUUUGGUUGAAAGUUGAAGCUUAGGUAAUUUGAUCGUGAUUUAGGGUACAAGUAGCCUACUUUUAACUAGUAGGGUGGCUGAAAUAACUCCAUGCUUUUGCCACAGCAAGUUGCAAGCUGUCCUUUCACCCUUUGGACAGCCCUUGGGCAGUGUUUUGGCAAACUUACACACAUCUUUGGUAAUCAAAAUCUGUCGAAAAAGUGACUUUCUUUGCCUACUUAAAGGGCUGUUGUUUCCUCACUUCACACACACUCUAACAAACUUACACACAUCUUUAGAGCUGCUUGAACACACAAAAAUUUGAGAGAAAAAUCAGCAACUGACAUAGAGAAAGUAAGCUGAAAUUGUAAGCUUUGUGAGUGGUUCUUAGAGUGAAAACUCUUUCAGAAAGAUAAGCCUUUUAGAGUUGGUUCUGGGCUUCUAUUCUAAGAUUUUUGGACCGUUAAACGUGAAUCUGCUGCUUGUUUUCUGCUAUUUUUGCUGUUGUUUUCUACUGCUUCUGUUGCUGAGCUCUUAUUCUUCAUUGUUGUGUUUAUUUUCUGCGAACCAGGUAACCUUUAAACUCUGUAAUGCAGAUUUUUAAUAGCAAUUGAUGAGGAUUUGAGCAUGUUUAGAUUACUUGAAGCAUCUUUAGCGAAAUUUGCUAUAUGGAUAAAUGUUGAGGUUUCAGUCUUGAUAUCAAGCUUUGGAUCAUAAUGUUAAAUCCAGGAUUUUUUAUUUAUUUAUUUAUGGCCUUGUCGUAUUUAUCUGUUAGCCUUUAAGUAGUAUUUUAUGAGAAUCUUGGUCAUGUUGUAGAAAAGAAAAAUUGUUAAAGACUUGAUGAAGAUUUUGAAAGUAGGCAGAAUGUAUUAGUUUUGUAAAAAACAAAGAGCUAUGUUUGGUAUAGGAUCUUUACCAUUCUCUUUAUUAGAAGUCCUACUGAAAGUACUAAUAUUAUCAAAAGAUCACUCGAUGAUCCAUUUUAUUACUCUAUUAUAGCAAUAAUAAUGUUACUUUAAAAUUAGUUUCUCGUUGUCUAUAUUUGUUUGUUCUUAAUUUUGUAUUUCUUUGGUCAGUGUCCUUAUGUAUUCAUCCCUUUCCUGAUUUUCGUAUUUCUCUUGUUAGUUUUCUUUAGUACAACAACAACAACAACCCAGUAUAAUCCCACUUAGUGGGGUCUGGGAAGGGUAGUGUGUACGCAGACCUUACCCCUACCAUGGGGUAGAGAGGCUGUUUCCAAAUAGACCCCCGGCAUCCUUCCCUCCAAGAACUUCCCACCUUGCUCUUGGGGAGACUCGAACUCACAACCUCUUGGUUGGAAGUGGAGGUUUCUUUAGUAUUUCUUUUUUAAGUUUAAUAAAACUUGAAGUCUCUUUUCUAAGAUACAAGAAAUGGGAUGGGUUGUUUGGUCAGUUGCUAAAGCUUAGUGUUGCUAGUUGAAAGUUUGAAAUUAAUACGAUUGGACUAACAAGAAUAAUGUCACAACCCAAAAUCUCAACCUGUCGGGAUGAAGCCUAACAUACCGACUAGGCAAGCCGAAACAUUAUAACAAAUGCAACAUAAUAAUGAAAUUCAUAAAAAUAUCAUAAACUUGAGGUCUUAAUACCAUAAAAACUGCUAAUACAAUGUAAAUACCCCCAGAGACUAGCAAGUAUGGAAUCAUGAGCUACUACAACGGAAUACAAGUUUGAAAUUGAGCAAUAAAUACAUAGUCUAAACUAUAACAAUAGUAUAAAAGGAAAAGACAAGUCAAACUGCGACCAAGGAUGCAGCUCUACCUAGGCUCUAGCAGAUAGUCCGAAAAGCAACCUACUGCUGAUAACUGGUCCUCACACCUGGAUCUGCACAAUUAAGUGCAGAGUGUAUUAUGAGUACAACCGGCCCAAUGUACUCAAUAACCAACAUAAAUAAAUACGGCAAGGUAAAAGGAGCAUAAAUUAUUAAUGAUAUUAGCUAUCACCUGUGUAGUUUCAUCUUUAAUUCUAGUACAGAACAAUAUUGAAAUUGUGAUGGUCCAAUAGGUCAUCUAGAGGUUUAGCCUCCAUUUUCAUGUUUCAAGACCUCGACUAGCUCGUUUAGGGUUGCUCAAUUUGUGUGCGCAGUAUGUGUCUUGUUGCAAAAAGUUUUAUGUGAAAACAUUAAAGAAAAUGUGAAAUUUGCCUUAAAACUCAUUUGAGUUGACUACGGUCAAGAUUUUAUGCAAACGAAUCCGGAUUUAUAUUUUGAUGAUCCCAGUGGGUCUGUAUCGUGAUUUGGGACUUGGACGUAUACCCGGAAUCGAAUUCGGAAGUCCCUAACUUGAUUUAAAAUAAUUCGUUGAAAACUAGUAAUUUGAAGGCUAAAAUAGUUCCUAAGUUUGACAUAGGUUGACUUUGUUGCUACCGGUUCGGAUUUCGAUUCCGGAACUUGAAAUAGGUUCACUUCACCAUUUACGACUUGUCCGCAAAAUUUGGUAUAAAACGGAAUUGAUUUGACAUGAUUCAGACGUCCGAUUGUAAAUUUGCAUGUUCUUGAGUUUCUUUAAAAAUUUCAUAUACUUUGAUGUCUGAUUCGUAGUUCUACAUAUUAUUUUGGUAUUAUGAUCAUGCGAGCAAGUUUGUAUGAUAUUUUUAGACUUGUGUUGGUAUUUGGUUUGGAGCCCCGAAUGCUCGGGUGAGUUUCGGAUAGGCUACAGAGUGAUUUCGGAUGACCCUCUGUUACUGGUGUGGUUUGCAGACCUCGCAAUUGCGAGGUGGGGGAUCGCAUUUGCAACAUUUGGCCAAGUCUGUUAUAAUCGCACUUGCAAAAUUUGUUCGCAACUGCGAAGGGGGCCUAAGAACAACAAAGAUCGCAUUUGUGAUCAUUUGAUCGCUUUUUUGAAGUUCCAGCGUUCGCAUUUGCGAUGAAAACAGAGAUGUGAGUUUCUUCGCAUUUGCGAUGAAUUUCUCGCAUUUUCCCGGGUGGCAAUUGCGACAUUUGCGACUGGAUAAAAAACUGAGAAACGUGAUUUUUAGCCUCAUUUUCAUAUUUUGGAACUCUAGGCUCGGUAUGAGGCGAUUUUGAAGAGGGAAAUUCAUCUACAAUCUUUGGAUAAGUGAUUCUAAUCAUAUUCCAUCAACUUAUCUUAGAUUUUAACAUCAAAAUCAUGUGAAUCAAAGUGAAAAAUUGGGAAACUUUGCCCAGUUUUUGAAAAAUAAGAAAUUGUGUUUUGAGAGUUGAUUUAGACUCGAAUUUUAAAAUUAAUCACAUAUAUGAACUCGUGGGGUCAUGAGUAGUUACAAUCUAUCAUUGGACCUGGUUUUUGAUCGGACGGGCCCUGGAUUGACUUUUGUUAGCUUUUUGAGAAAAGUGUAAAGAUUUUAGCUUUAUCUAUUGUAAUUGAUUUCCCUAGCAUUGUUUGAUAAUAUUGAGUCGAUUUUGGUUAGAUUCAAUUGGUUUUGAGGCAAAUUAGAGAAAAGGUCCCAGUUGAGCUUCGAUUUGCUUGCGGAACGAGGUAAGUAUUGGGUCUAACCUUGAUUUUGGGGAAUUAAGAACCCUUGAACUACAUGUUAUGUGAAUUACGUGUGUAACAUCAUAUAUGCAAGGUGACGAGUGUAUAUAUGCUGUCAAAGUAAUUAUUUCUAUGCUUUCUCUUAUUUCAUGAAUUAUCUUAUUCCAUGUCUUAACUGUUACAUGCUUUGAUUGCUUUCUAUACUGGAACUUGUUACUUGUCAUAAAUUAUUCUUGUAUUUAAAUUUUCCUUCACUGACUCCAUGAUUAAUUGCUUCUUGCCUUAAUUGUCUUACUUGUAUACUUAACUGUCACAUACUUGGCUUUUUUGUUUCUCUUGUAUUAUUUGUAGCAUUCCUUUGAUUAGUACAUGGUUCCUUUAUUGCUUUGCUUUCAUAUUAUUUAAUCAUAGAGAUUCUUAUGAAUUGAGCUGUUGGAUUGAUUAAAUUUAUUGAACUUGUUUAUGGAUUAGGUUGCACGCCGCAAUGGUUGUGAUAUGAUGGAAUAAGGGAAGAUUAUGAUAUUGAUUAUGAUGAUAUGGUGGGAUUGGGUUAUGCGCCGUGGAUUUUAUAUGUGAUUUUGAUAUUGAUGUGGUAAAAUAAGGGAGAAUUGUAUGUGUAUGAUAGGAUCGGGUUGCGUGCCGCAACGGAUUAUGUGUGUUGUAUGCAUUGAUGUUAUUGUGUUGAUUUCCAAUGUUGUUACAUGAAAUUAUGAGAUCGGUUAUUCUAGGUUCUCUGGUUACAAUAAUUGAGUUCGUUUUCAUAUAUUAAAUGCCCUACCUUCAUUCCAUGUUUUCCUUCUUUGUUAUUAUUAUUGUACUAUGUAUAUGUUAUUGUAAGUGACCUGUCUUAGCCUCGUCACUAUUUCGCUGAGGUUAGGCUCGGUAUUUAUAAAGUAUAUUGGGUCGAUUGUAUUCAUACUACACCUUGCACUUCUUGUACAGAUUUUGGAGUCGGUCCUAGCGGCAAUCAAUAGAUUGCUCGAAUCCAGUGUUUGACGGAGACUUGAGGUAUAGGUCCUUAGCGUUUACAACCCAGAAGUCCCAUUCUACAUUACCAUAUCUGUUUAUUUCGAUUCAGACAAUUAUGCUUUCAUUCAAACUAUGAUUUGUAGUACUCUAGUCACUCAUGUAUUCAUGACACCAGUUCUGGGAUGUGUAUUUGGAUUAUCACCGUUUAUCAGAUGUGCC